rnacentral:misc_RNA from 1 species
CCAAUUCUUUACAAGCAUCA